rnacentral:rRNA from 1 species
UAUUGGGCAAUGGAGGAAACUCUGACCCAGCCAUGCCGCGUGAGUGAAGAGGGUUUUCGGAUUGUAAAGCUCUUUCGCACGGGACGAUGAUGACGGUACCGUGAUAAGAAGCCCCGGCUAACUUCGUGCCAGCAGCCGCGGUAAUACGAAGGGGGCAAGCGUUGUUCGGAAUUACUGGGCGUAAAGGGAGUGUAGGCGGUUAUGUAAGAUAGCGGUGAAAUGCCGGGGCUCAACCUCGGAAUUGCCGUUAUAACUAUGUAACUAGAAUGAUAGAGAGGGUAGCGGAAUACCCAGUGUAGAGGUGAAAUCCGUAGAUAUUGGGUAGAACACCGGUGGCGAAGGCGGCUAUCUGGCUAUAAAUUGACGCUGAGGCUCGAAAGCAUGGGGAUCAAACAGG